GCGGCCAGGGCGGAGGGGAAACACCCGUACCCAUUCCGAACACGGAAGUGAAGCCCUCCAGCGAACCAGCUAGUACUAGAGUGGGAGACCCUCUGGGAGCGCUGGUUCGCCGCC
rnacentral:rRNA from 16 species